GCCAGGCAUGGUGGCGCAUGCCUGUAGUCCCAGCUACUUGGGAGGCUGAGGCAGGAGAAUCACUUGAACCCAGGAGGCGGAGGUUGCAGUGAGCUGAGAUGGAGCCAUUGCACUCCAUCCUGGGUGACAGAGCGAAACUCUGUCUCAA
ensembl:misc_RNA Metazoa_SRP Metazoan signal recognition particle RNA